rnacentral:tRNA from 1 species
GCAGAUAUGGCUUAGUGGUUAAAAGCCUAGCUAGUUGCUUUUUCAGAAGACCUGGGUUCAAUUCCCAAUAUCUACU